ACCCUUAAAAUAGAAGAGAAAACACAGAUCAGACUACCACAGUCUCCAUAAUGGCACUGCUCUUAGUUCAAACUGCACAGAGUCAAGUUUCUAAGAGAAAGCAGGAGUCAUACAAAACAAACUUUCGUAUGCUAUGUGAAACACAUAAUUUAGUGAACUUUAACAACGGACAACAGGCCAACGAGUCCUAUCCAGGGAAAGACAAAGGCACUGAUAAAAACCAUAACUGUUUUACCAAAUAGUAUUAGGUCAAACAAAGUAUUUCCCUGCUCAUGGAACAGGCGGCCCCAGAGAGAGCAAGCAUUAGGCUAGGCGCUCAGAGCUAGCACAGCUGCACGCACUCUCUAAAGCCUCUAAGUUGGUAAGUUCUCGGGCUUGGAAACUUACACCCUCACUACCAUGGCCAGGCAUCCCUUAGGUGCUCUGAAGAUAAGCUGGGUAAGCCACUGCUAGCCACAGGUAGCCAAUGAGAACCUGCAGUGUGGUUACUCUCAAAUGAGAGACUUUGUAUAAAUAUUGCACUGAAUUUCGAGAAAGUAGACUGGGGUGGGGGAGACAAAAUAUCUUUACCUUUAAAAAUGACUGUAUGUUGAAAUAUUUUACAGAUACUGAAUCAAUUACUGAAACCAAUUACUGCCAUGUAUGUGGUUACCAAGAAAUGAGCAUUGCAAUGCACAUCAUGUUUCUACAAGUCACCAAUAUUCCAGUGAGAAGCUAUGAGUAGCUUCAGUAGCAGGUCUUUUUAACAUGACAUCUAUUCCUGUGUAUGUUCCUGUGUGGGUGCUUGUGCACCGGCACCCGAGUGCAAGCUGAGGAUGACACGCAGUUCUCUACUUUCACCAGUGGGUCUCAAGGAUUAAACCAUCCACCUUGGUGGCAGGGGCCUCUACCCAUGCUGCCAUCCAGCUGGUGGCUGUUUUCUGCCCCUGCCCAGCACACACAGUACUGAAGCUUAACCUCCGGAAGGACCUGACACAUGCCAGCCAAGCAUUCACACUGAGUUACAGCCCCAACCAUAAGUCAUGACUUGAGAAUAAAUGCCCUACGGGGUUUGGCAUAUUGCCAAGGUACAAACUGGGUUCAAAUAGUUGCACAGGGGGCUGGAGAAAUGGCUCUGCAGUUAAGAGCUGGCUGCUCUUCCAGAGGACUCAGGCUCAAUUCCUAGCACCCACACGGCAGCUCACAACCGUCUGUAACUCCAGUUCCAGAGGAUCUGACAUCCUCGCACAGCAUACAUGCAGGCAAAACACCACUGCACAUGAAAUAACAAUAAACAAACAAUAGUUGCACACCCACUAGUGAACUUAAUUUAUUGUCAUUAUCAAUACCUUAAUGCUUAUUAUGUCCUACUUGCCCAUCAGUAAUUCUUAAGAAUUGAAAAACUCAAUUUCAUUUUGGAAACUGUCCAUAAUAUAUUGGUUUUUUUUUCUGUUAAAUGUGUUUAAGAUGUGAAGAUAUGUAGCAUACACAUUAUAUUUACAUAAGUAUGUGUGUAUGGUCACUCCAGAGAGGAGAAAUGGAAAGUCAAGAUAUACAGCAGUCACUCGAGAGAGGAGAAAUGGAAAGUUAAGAUAUACAGCAAAGUGUGUCAAACUGGGCCUCACUAAGGCUGAGGACUUCUUCCUCUAGUCAGGCAAUGAUAAUUUGGAACUGUUGGUACCAGAUCUACUUACACCUCAGUACAUAUGAGAGCUAACUGGCAUUGUCUGAACUCACCUAUUCCCCAUAAUGCUUCAAUUUUGACUUUUGACCCCAGAGGAAGGCAAUGAAAGACUGGUUCUUUUACCUCAGAAAACAGUAAAAGACAGGUGCUGGCAACAAGUUCAUGAUUAAGUCACCGCCUGAAUGAAACUUAAAACACCACUGAAGCUCACUGCCUGGAUGAUUCCCUGAACUGGUUUAUCUUGGAUAAGGCACUUGUAUUUAAAAUGACCAAGGCUGAUACAUUAUCACAUUGGUAACUACUCAAUUUCUGUACAGUAAAUAUAAUACUUAUUUAUACUAUACAAAAUUGAUAAACAUAAGGAUACAGGAUUGAUUUUGACAGUUUGGAAAUUUUUUUCCUCUGGUUUGUAGUCUUAUUUUAGAAGCAUAUUUUGUUUUUAAAAUCUAAAAAAGAGAUUUCUCUUUUUGAAAAAUAAUAUUACUUUAUAAAUACCACUGACUUAUAAGGCAAAUUUAACUAAUUCAGUAACCUACAAUUCCAAAUAAAAGCUAAAAAUCUUUUUGGCUUUUAUCAGACAUAUGUGGUUUGAUGAAUUACAAGGGGUAAAAUCCCUUUGGGAGAAAAGGCAGUAUGUGAAAUAAACAUCAAUCCUUCCAUUUCAAUAUUAAAUGCCAAAAUAACCUAACAAUACUAUUAAAACAGAAAGAAGGAAAUCUGUAAAUCACAUAAUUUUUAAAAAGUACAGAGGAAAGUAAAAAAAAAAACUAUACUGUCAAAGACUGACAGGAUAUUUUUAUGUAUGACAUAAUAGGCUUGAUAAAAGCAAAACCUGUGGCUUAUAAGGAAGCAGCAAAAAAACAAAAGAGAAAAGAAACCAGAGUUGAGAGAAUGGGUGUGUCUAGUUUUCAGGUGAGAAUGUUAAAAACAAUGCUAAUGCCAACGAGUACUGGGGAAGACCUUCGGCACUGUGCUGGACUUUACGUUGGCUACUACGAUACUUCUGACAAUUCUUAGAAUCCAUGGUGUGUGACGCUUCAAUAUAAGUGCACUACACUCCACUUUAUACUCUAACUACCAAGACAACUCAGUCUUCUGUCCUCAGGUAACCUGGCUCUACAGCAGUAGCCACAAAACAUUCCUUAGGGGUCAAUGUAUGAUUUUCUCUGUAUUUUUGUUCUUUUUCUACUUUCUUUACGGCCAUAGCUUCUUGGUCACUUUUUAUUAGAUACUUAUUGGAUACUUGUUUCUCUUUUUGAGAAUCUGAGAAACACUAUAAAGCCAUAUGCCAUACAGGCAACUCUUUGGGUAACUCCAGGUUACUGAAAUUCCAGCUCUAAGACUUUCUGGGCAAUCUUCCCACCUCCCUGAUGAUAUAAUAGUUAUAUGCUGAUGGUUUCCAAACAUUACCUGCUGCUCAUAAUCUAUAGCCUCCUGACGGCCAUGAUCGAUGCUCGUCUUUUCCUAAACAGCUCUGUCUGGAUGACUCAUCAGAGAACUCUUAUCUACCUAGGGACAAAACUGAGAAGCAGGUGGGCAAUCUUAAGUCUUUCUCUCUAGUCUAUCAUCACGGUUCACUUGAGAUGGGCUUCUUCCUACCCAUCUCUAAUGCAAAAGAUUAGUCACUUCUGGCGACACCUUCUUAUCUGGAUCAUCAUACUAAUCUUCCAGAUGGCUUCCUGACUCCAAUCUGAUAAUUCUCCACUCUGUGCUCCAUGAUGAAGGCAUAAGGUUUAUUUUAUAAAAACAAAAACCCACAGAACCACUUACUGCUCUAUUGUGUUUUGCUUGCAAAUUGUUACAAAUUCCUCUGUGUUGCUACCUACACAGAGGUUCAUCCUUCCAUUUAUAACAAAGCUAUUCUUAUUCUGGUUGUUGGGGCAGGGUGACAUCAGAGUAGAAUGCUUGCCCAACAUAUCCAAGGCCCUGGGUUCCAUUCCCAGCAACACAAAACAAUUCCAAAUUCUUCCUCAGUAGGGUGUAGUGGCUCACAUGCAUAGUCUCAGCUACUCCAGAGAUAAAGGUGUGGGGAUUAUUGGAGCUCACAGGUUCCAGCCUAGGCAAUGCAACAUCUUUUUUUUAAAAAAAAAAAAAAAAAAAAAAAGGUCAGGGCAGGAGGAUGCCUUAGCAGGUAAAGGUACACCUACUCCAGGCCUGACAACCUGAGUUUGAUUUCCAGUCCCCACAUGAUGCAAGGAGAGAACCAACUCAAAGUUGUCCUCUGAACCCUACAUACUGUAACUCUAGCUUUGGAAGGAUAGAUAGGCAGAAUGUGGGAGCCCAAUGGCCAGUCAACAUAACCUGAAUGGAAUGCAUGUGGCUCAGUGAGAGAUCCUGUCACUGUCACACACACACACACACACACACACACACACACACACACACACACACGAGAUAUAAAUAUAUGAAAAGUAUUUUUAGAAUGAGCUAAGUAUCUGAAUAAUGAGUUCACCACAACAGACACAAAUGUCCAGUAGGAGAAUGAUAAAAAGAUGUUGGACACCAUUAACUUCCAGAAAAGUGUAAAUAAAGCCACAAUGAGAUGCAUUUCCCAGGACAAUCGCUACAGAGAAACUAAAUCUCAUCCCCUGCUGGUGUGGAAGCAAAGGAUGCAGCUCUGGAAAAGGAUGGCAGGUCCCGAAAGAGUUAAACGAAAACAUCACAGGACCUAGCAACUCCACACCAAGAGAAAUGAAGCCUUGUCCGCACAGAAGCUUGCAUUUGAGCAUCGGAUCAGCCUUGUUUCUACAGCCCAGAUGGAAACAACUCAGAUCUGUCUGUCCCAGAUGCAUGUGAUGCCUCAACACAACUGAACGUAUCUGGCACAGAAAGGGAAGCAGCAUGAUCUUACACGACCAAAGACAUAAGCCUUAAAACAUUAUUCCAGGCCAGACACACACCUUUAAUCCCAGCACUCUGAAACCAGAGGCAGGUGAUCUCUGUGAGUUCGAGCCAGCCUGAUCUACAGAGUGACUUCUAGGAUAGCAAAGGCUACCCAGAGAAACCAUGUCUUAAAAAACAAAAGAAAAAAAAUUAUUUCAAGAGUGAGUCCAGUGGUGCAGACUUGUAAUCUCAGCUCUUCAGAUGGCUAAAACAAGGGGGAUUCCGAGUUCAAGACUUUUCUGGGAUUUGAAGUGAAUUCAAGGCCAACCUGGGCUACUUUAGCAAGGCUUCAUUUCAAAAUGAAAAAUGAAGGUCUAGGGAAUAUAACUCAGUGUGGUAGGGUACUUACCCAGUACAUGCUCCAUCACUCGAACUCGAAGUAAGUGAAGCCAGUAACUAAGAAGCAGGUAUCGUUCUCCAUAUACAAAGAGGAGGACAGGGCUGGGAUGGAUCACUGGAACAACACUUGCUCCAGAAACAUGAGGACCCAGUUCUAGUCCCAGAGGUCAUGAAAAGCCAGGGAAAACUGCAUGCACCUGUAAUCCCAGUGCUGCUGGAGGCAGAGACAGGAGGACUGCUGAGACCUGCUGUCUACCAGCCUAGCUCUGGGUUCAGCUAGAGACCAGGUCUCAAAGCAAUCAGGCAGAGAAUGACAAAGCAGGAUAGCAGAGGUCCUUCUCUGGAACACAGAGCUGGAGGAGAGUGGAGGAGAGGAAGAGAGUGGGGAUGGGAGGUUCCCACAACUCUACAGAAACAUAAAAUAGAUUUAGCAGUUUCUUAGGGUGAGUAAUUGAAAUUUGGCCAGCAAUGGUUAGGUCUGGAGAUUCUGUUUAGAGUAAUGAGAGUAUGCUCUAAAAUUGACUGACUGUGAGUAUACCAAGAUUUGUGUAGCCCAGGCUGGCCUCGAACUCGUGAUCCUCCUGCCUCUGCCUCCUUCAGCAAAUCCUACCGGCAUGCGCCACCACAACCGGCGUAUACCAAGAUUUGAACUGUACACUUUAAAGCAAAUUAUAUCUCAAUAAUAUGUUAUUUUUUUUAAAUGAAUUAGAAGGAAAAUGUAAGAAAUAGCUGUGCAAGUAGAGAAGGGAGGCCAAAGGAAGAUAGCCAAAGGUCAGGGAAGAUGUAAAUAUAGUUUAUUGACUGUCCUAAACGAGUGAGAAAAGAGCUUAGUAUUAAAAAGACAAUAAGCUGGAAGUAUACAUUAUACAAAUAAUCCCAGCACUGAAGAGGCUAGAACACCAUGACUGUGAGUUCAAGGCCAGCCUGGGACUAAAUAGAAAGCCCUUGUCUAAAUUAAUUAAACAGAAACCACAGGUUUAGGCAAAGUCUGGGGAAGGAGACAGUGAGAAAAGGGUGAUAUCUUUGAGAGACUGAAGACAGAUAAUGAUGGAUGGAUAGGUAGAUAAGAUAGAAAGAUAGAUAGAUAGAUAGAUAGAUAGAUAGACAGACAGACAGACAGACAGACAGACAGAAAGAAAGAAAGAAAGAAAGAAGACAGAUAACUAGUGAUGGAGGUGAACCGAAUGUUAAAGGCUUACAUUCAAGGAGGGCAGGGAUGCCUUCUGCUGACAUGAGAAAGUAAGGGGAGAGGAGAUCCAAAAUAGUAACAGACAUUGGGAAAACCACUGACACAAAUAAGAAAACAGAGCAAUAGGGGAAAAGCCUGUCAAGUAGAAAUGAGCAAUAUGAGAAUAGGAGAAAUUUGGGGUUUUGCUGUGUGUGUGUGUGUGUGUGUGUGUGUGUGUGUGUACUGAGGGCAUUAUUGGGGCUUUGUACUUGUUGGGCUCUAAUACUGAGCUGUAGUUUCUUUUAAAAUCUUUUUAAAAAAUAAAUUUUAAAGAGUCUAGGUUGCCCAAGAUGGGCUUGAACUUGUGAGCCUCCUGUUUGAGCCUUACUAGUAGCUGGGAUUCCAGGCCCAGCAGGUCCAGCAGGUGCAGCUUAGACGUAUAUUUUAAUGGAGUUAAUGCACAUGAUCAGAUGAUGAUCUCAGCUGGACUGCUCAGCCUAGGGCCUAUAAACCAAGAGGGCACACAGUUAGGCUCUAUUCAAAGCAGGAUGCUCAGGGUUGGGAGAGAUGCUGGACCAAGAGCUCUGUGCCGGGGAGGCCAUGUUAGUUACUACAGGAAGACAGCAUUUCAAAGAAGAAAUGGACUUAAAUGAAGGUCUCAGCAAAGAUGAAAAAAAAAAUCACCUAAUCUAAAUAGGACUCUUGAUUAUUUGUCUGCAAGAACUGAGAUUAAUGGCCAGAUCUCGGAGGAAGGCUACACGUAAAUGGAUUAUGAAUAAUAUAAUGACAGGGUUUAGAUAAAAUAGCUUCUUAGAACAACUCAUUUGCUCAAACUGUAAGCAACGAAACAAUGGCUUAAAAUGCCCAUGAAAGUUAGCCCGUUUUAUCAAACCUACAGCACACAGAGUCUGACAGGAUGGCAGGAGACACAUGCUGCUGCCUCUGGAGGACAUUCGAUAAUUCUACAGUUGGCUUGAGACCUGGGCUCCUCCCAGGUGCUGCGGGAACUAUGAUCCAGGAACAACAUGAAUUACAGGACAAGCCAAUCUGACACGACACAUUUGCUCUGGUCAUCCAUAUGGGAACAGUCAAGAGUUGGAUGCAGAAGGAUAUCAACACCCUAAAUAUUCUAAUGCAAGAGCAUUGACGCUUCAGGAUCCCCUCAGUUGACCAAACCGAUGACAGUGCACACAAGUCUAUGACUUACAGCCUUAAACAUUAAGAAGAACUCUGCUUAUUUUGAGGCUCUUUUUAUGUUAAAGAAAUAGGAAACACUGCAGUGUGAACAGGUCUCUGCCCAGGGGCUAGACGUUGCCUUACCUUUACUACCUUGUAGUCACACAAGUACUCCACCUCAUAAUUGUUUAGAUUCCUUUUGGUGAUUCCAAUCGAUUUACAUGUGAGCUUUUCUUUUCUACAUAAUUCCUGGAGAGUAUCAAGUGAAACUAGGCAAGGCACACACCAGGCUACAAUAAGAAAAUAGAAUUCUUUACCAAUAAAAUAGCUACUAGGCUGAAACAAAAACUUAAAACCCUCUCAGCUGACAAUUUUAUAGUCUAGGAACGCAUAUGACAAGAAGCUAUGUAUGUCUAAGAAAAAAGUUACAGGGUAAAGAACUGGUUUUGGUGAAUUGGUUUACUUUCCGGUGCACAUCUAUCCCACUUGUAACCAAAAUGCCUAACUCUUGCUUAACUACUUAAAAUAUUUCACGUCUAAACUUUCUUAGGGUUACAUAUAAAUGCGAAGGUAAAAAGUAAUUUUUUUUACUGUUUUAUUUUAUUCUACACAGGUUAUAACUGUUCUAAUAAACAGCUAAGACACAUUGUUAGAGAUAUAUCUAAAAUAUAUUCUAAAAUGGUCACGCAGAUGGUAAGAAUUUAAGUCUGAAAUAUAGUUUUAUAGUUAAAAUCCAUAUCCUACCUUUCCCAUUUUGGAAAACGGCAGAAAUUUUAGCUUCAUUUAUUUUGCGCAUGGGGAAGUAUAUUUUCAACAUGCAUAAACCAGAGAAUUCUACUUGAAAUAGAAGACAUAGUGAGUGUUGUAAUACUCAUUCCCUACAGUUUUCAAGCCAGCAGUUACACAACCCAAUGGAAAUAAUCCAUAAGCCAGACUUGAAAAUCAGACAUACUAACACAAUAACCGUACAGAGGUCAGAAAUGAACUGUAUUCCAUCCUAAAUUUAAAAAUAUAAUUACGCAGCUGAUGUCUAGGAAAAUGUAACAAACUUCACUAUAUGGCUAAUAUCAGGAUCAAUACGAGAUGAUCAAGAGUCCUCCGUUCUACCCGUUGGUGGGCCACCUAGCUACACAACUUCCAGAAGGUCUCAAUCUUUUUGUGUGUAGGACUCACUGAAAAAAAGUGAGGUUUGUUGAAAACAGAGGUGACCAAAGAAAAUGUAUCUGUAACUUAUCAAGUUGUAUUUAGGAGUUCUCCAAAGGGGUGGGCAAAAACGUUUUGAGGUAAAUUUUCAGGAAGGGACAACAUAACUGCUCUAAUUUUCCCACAGUCCUUCCUCACCUCCGCAAGGAAGGGCUUCAUUGUCAGAAACCAUUAAACAUAGCUUCAGCACUCCAGUCAGUGCAAAUAACUCCUAUUUCUGGCACUUGCAAAAGGCAAAGACUUUCCCUCAAAUUUGCCAGAAAACAUCAAUUUGCUUAGGUGUGGGUUUGGGGGCAAGAAAGCUGUAAAAACAUCUCAUAAAUCGCUUCUAAAAAUCUUCAGGCUGUUUUGUCUAAUGCUAAUCUCCUUAUGCUAAUCGUCUGCAAAGAAGAGUCCUCUCCUUUAUGUAACCAAGGUGUUAGCUGUUUUUUUUUAAUUCUUGCCCCUAGCCAAGAAUCCAAAAACACAACCCUAUAAUGGAGGGUGGUGUUGAAUAUGAUCACCGUAAUAUUCGUGUGAAAACGUCAUAACGAAGCGUUAUGUGUAAUUACAACGCACCUCCCCUCGCAACAGAAAUGCUACAUCUUUGAGCAUCUCGGAAUAUUAAAAAUAAAAAAAUCCCGCUUAUAAAAAUCGUUCUACCACCCCACCCCCACAUUGCGCUUCAAGGAAGCAGAGUUACGGGAAUAAUAAAGUGUCACCAUCUGAGUGGAGCGGAGGGAAGAGCUGGAGAACAGCCUUUUCAUUCCACAAGGCUUUUGCGAGACCCAGACUUUCAAAGGGCGCGCGCGACUCGAGCGUACGCACGCGCAGUGCGUGCCCCCGGCUUCAGCAUCCACAUAAAUAACCUGCAAGUUCCAGGCAGCCCCCAAAGUUUCCAGGAGCUCAGGGUUGUGUCUGCAGACGCCUCACAGCGAUGCCAGGCCCGCUCGAACGCAGGCACCAAGGGUCCCCUUUCUCCAGCACCGCACCUCAGCCCCGCUACCCCACCCCACCCCCGGCUCGGAGGUGGCGACCACUACCGCGGCAGCGCGUGUGCUUUCCUGCUCACCCUUGAAUGAGGCACCUCGUGCACACUCGCCGCCAAAGACCGCGGCCCGCGGAGCUCUGGACCUCGCUCGGUUGGAGCCGGCGCGUCUCCCGCCCGCAGACGACCGCGAGCGUCGCGCCGUCACGGUGUCCGCGCGGCAGCGUCUCGUCGUUCGCCUGGGUUUGGGCCUCUGGGGCGGACCUGGAGCCCGGUGACACCGCGCUCUGGCCUCACCGCUCCGUGCCUUGGCCCUGGCCGCCGCCAUCUUGCGGAGCUUUCAUUCAAACUGGCGCGGUCAGCCCGAAUAACUCAGCUGGCCGGACGCCCCGCCCCGGCCCGCGAGGGACUCCGGAGCUGGGAGGCUCUCAGGAUCUUAAAAAUCUGCUGCUGGCUGGGUUCUCCUGGAGAGAUGCGGUCUGUUGAAAUCACUCAAAGAGAUUCUGAAGAGUUGGUGUGGCCAUGUAGCAGCUGGACUUAGAGGAAAGGCCUGACCAUUGUCAGCAUCCAACCAACCCUGCCAAGAACUCGACUAACAUUAACAGCCUUAAGCUGAGGGCAGGUUUUACCCACGUAUGCUCAGGGAGAAUCAGGGCAUUUACCACUGUAAAUCCGACAACUUGUAAGGAGAACCGUUACACAUAAAAGACCAUCUCUAAUUCCGUAAGCAGGUCAUGUCAGUGCUAAUCAGACACACUGCCUGUCGCCUCUUUAAUUCCAUUGCCCACACCAUCAUUUCUCAGCCAAAAAAGCCUAGCUUCCUUGACCUCUCUACUGCUCCCCUUUCCAGCCACCUCCCGCCCAGCCAAGGAGCCUUUAAUACAUAAAGUGAAACAUGCUUCCAAGUUGCUUUGUCUGAGAAUCGCUUUGAAGUCCUGAUCCUCUUGCUGCUACUUUGGUGUGCUGGGGUUACCAAAGUCCCCCCUCCCCUAAUACACACUUUAAUCUGGAAAUCAUGUUCUAGCUCAAAGGACUCGCUCCCACCCCUUACAUGUGGAGCGCCCUUCUGUUUCACCUGGCCAGAUUUAACUCAAAUGUUACUUCUUCAGAGGCCUCUCAGGCAUUCUGUCUGACUGCGUCCUCUAGCUCUCCUUUAAAAGCUUUUGUCAAAAUUUGUCAGGGUAGAAUCUCACAAGCAUUUUUGGCCUUGCUAAGUUUCAUUUAAAAAAAAUUAGCAAAGGACUCCGGGGUGGUCAGGAGGAGAUCUUGGUGGAAUAGCAGUUGUCUGAUAGAUUCAAGGCUCUGGGUCGAUCACAACAUUGCAAAUUUUUAUAUAUAAAUUAUUUUUUUAUAAGUGAAGUAUUUCCGUUGUUUAAUCUUAUCAGUCCCAGGGCAUAGCAUAGACCCGGCCAUUUCAGCAUUCAUCAAUGUCUACUCUCCAUUCUCAGAGUGUAGAUGAGUGGGCCUGAAAGCCCUCAGGAAACCCAUGAGCGCAGAAUGGCAGUUUUGCGCGUGCAACAACUUUGUCUCCUGAGGACAUGGUUGCCAGUGCUGCAUGUGCUCUGCGAAGUUUACACACUAACCUGCACAAAACACACCUCUCAGCACAUGUCCUCCUCACGAAAAGGCACUAAGCAUUUUCUUCCUGAUGCCGGGAAGGCCCUGUCAUUUAUCACUCUAUGUUUUCUCAUGGAUGUCUGUAAUUUUCCAGAACUUGCACAACUCGUCUCAUACACUGACAAAGGAACGCACUUGUCAAAACAUAGCUGUCUCCUGCCGAAGCCAGAGGUUAAGCGGCUUGAAAAGAACACAAGAUACCAAAUACUUCCUGCUAAAGCUUCUGUUUCAAGCGUUAUUAUUGUUUUUAUAAAGAUUCUAUUCCCAUGGGUAACAUGUUCAAUUAUGUCUUACAUUUUAAAUUUAUUUUAAAAAUCUAUUGAAUAACUUGAAAAAUCUUUGAUUGUCUAAGGAGUUAUAUAUUAUAAACAAAAGCUCUUUGGAUUAUCAAUUGUUUUUUUAAGGGACAGGAUCUCAUCAGGUUUUCCAGGCUGUCUCUGAAUUCCUAGGUUUAAAUGGUCCUCUUGCCUCUACUUCCUAAAUAACAGGGAACGCUGUACUGCUCCAUCACAAGAAUUGUUAAGAAGGUAAAGGGUCCUGAGACCAAACUGAGGAUCUUGGUAAACCCUGGCAAGUGAUUGAUUUGGAUUGAUUGAUUGGCAGGCACCCCAGUCUUUGGGAUAGAAGAACAGGAUUAGGAUAUUUCGCAGUUUUCAUAACUCUCGCUGAAAACGUGAUUUCCACUGACCUAUGGAGCUUACCUUUUCCGACUCGAAUGUUCUCUGAGAAGCAGAGUACAAAUGCACACUGGAUUAAAAAUGUGAAUUUAAAUAAGCAUGUAAUGUACUUAAAAUAGUAAGUAGACAAAAUGUAAGUUCAAAAAAUUAAUCUGGGGGUUGGGGAUCUAGCUCAGUGGUAGAGCGCUUGCCUAGCAAGCACAAGGCCCUGGGUUCGGUCCUCAGCUCCGGAAAAAAAAAAAAAAUCUGUAAAAGCUAUCAAUCUGUAAUAGAAUACAGAUUGAAUGCUUGCACCCCCUCACCUCUUAAAUCGCAUGUCAAAAUCCCACUUUCCAGUAUAUAUACUUAGGAUCAGAGCCCUUGGAGGCCACUGGGUUGCAAAAGUAGGGCCUUGCGUGAUGGAGUUGUACCCCUGUAAAAGAAACCCUUGGUUACGAUCCCAGGGCUUGUGGUUUUCCUAUUCCUGUAUUUGGUUGUUUCCCUUAGACAGCGUCGUGCAGUGGCAGAGUUAUAAUUUGACGGGCUGGGGAUAUGGCUUUAGCGAGCUAAGUGCUUGCUGUACAAUCCUGAGGAUCUGAGGUCAGAUCCUCAGCGCACACGUUUAAAAAAAGAGCCAAGUUUGGAGCUCACACCUGUGCAGUGGCUCGAGGGAGAAUGGCCUCCAUAGGUUCAUACGUUUGAAUGCUUAGUCACUAGGAGUGGUGGCACUGUUCGAAGGUGUGGCCUUGCUGGAGGAAAUGUCACUAGGGGUGGGGUUUGAGGUUUCAAAAGCCCAUGUGAGGCGCAGUCUCUCCCCCUCCCCUCCCCCUCCCCCCUUUCUCUCUCUCUCUUUCCCUCUGCCCGCCUCACCAGAUCUGGAUGGAGAACUCUCAUCUACUUCUCCAGCACCACGCCUGCCUACAAACUACCGUGAUAACGGACUGACCUCUGAUGAAAUUGUAAGCAAGCUCCCAAUUAAAUGCCUUAAAAAAAAAAAGUUGUUUUGGUUACAGCGUCACCCAUAAUCUCAGCACUGAGAGCCAGCGACAGGAGGAUCCGGGGCUCCUCGGUCAGCCAGUCUGUGAGCUCCAGGUCCCCUGAGACACUCCACCUCAAAAACAUAACGUGAAGAGGAAUGAAAGAAAAUCCCUUCCGAGGUCAACUCAACCUCUGGUGUUCACACAGGGGCACACACUCACACACGCGGAAUUACAGUUUGACUUCAAUGUAAAUAAAGUCAAUAUGGAAGGAAGGAAAUUUCACAUAAGCCCUCAUGUACUUUGUUAUAUAAAUAACCUACUUUGAAUUAACAGACUGUUCUUCCUUAUUUUUAUUUAGUAUGUGGGUGUGCAUGUGCCGUGACUCAAAGUCAGAGGAAAACUGGGAAGGUUUGGCUCCUUCCUUCCACCCUGGGUCAUCAGACCUGGGAGCAGUUGCUUUUCCACACUAAGCCAUCUCAUUGGCAUUCAAGCUUACUUUGCAGAGUGCUAGAGAGUAAAUAUUUUAACUCUGGAUCACACACCCUGUCACACAGCCACAGGGACACAUAGUCAAGGCUAUGCUCUAAUACAGCUUUAUUUACAACAAUGGGUAUGAGAGAGAUCUGACCUAUAAGCUCAAGUUUACCAACCCCUAGUUUCUUUUAAAAUGGCUCUUUUGUUUUUUUUAUUCAUUUAUUAUAUAUAAGUACACUGUCGCUGUCUUCAGACACACCAGAAGAGGGCAUCGGAUCUCAUUACAGAUGGUUGUGAGCCACCAUGUGGUUGCUGGGAAUUGAACUCAGGACCUCUGGAAGAGCAGUCGGUGCUCUUAACCGCUGAGCCAUCUCUCCAGCCCCCCCCCCCCAGUUUCUUGUAAAACACUGAAAGUAAUAACCAUAAAAUAAAAUCCUAAAAUAUUUUCUGAGGCACAAAGAUUUUAUAUUAGGAAUUGAACCAGUUCAGCUGUUAUUUCCCUAGUCCUGAGGUCAGAUGUUUAUAUAGAUUAGAUACAGAAAUAAUCUCUCAAUAUCACAUAACUUUACACAAGAAACACAAAGUACUUGGUCAAGAAUUUGAAGUUGUUUCCUUAUUUAAGGAUAUGCCUUCUAUUCAGUUUGCUACUAAUGUGAUACAAAAUUACCAUGCAAACAUUUGCCUCUGCCUCCUGCGUCUUCAGGAACUUCUAAAGGGUGCUGCCAUCUCCACGAUAAACGUUUCUAACAAUAAACCACAUCCAUACAGUUUGAACAAGGUACAGAGACAGAGCUUAGAACUUACUGUGGAGUUAGCAGCUUCUCUCCUUGUGGUGUCCAGGCAGGUCUGACUCUUGGGCUAAAGCUACCCUGCCUACUUAGCAUCCCAACAGCUGCAACUGCAAACAUGUGCUACCAUGUCCUAUGAGAAAGGGUGGGAAUCAAGGAGAGAAAUGAAUGCAAAUUCUUCCCUUCAUGGGAAACAAAUCUAGAUACACUGCCCACUGCCGUGUGGUCAGUAGCCACUUCUCUAUACUCCUUUCUCUAUCUGGUCUCCCCAUGAGCUCAGAAUCAAGAAGAGACAAAAUAAUUCCUCCCUUACACUCGGAGACCUUUUGGUUCUAAGAGUGAGUGGCCAAUACAGGAGCUGUGGCAGACUCUGAGAGGGCGCUUCUUACUCUGGCCCCUUGCAGUAUUCCCUUUGCUGUCUGUCAUGUGACUGGCCCUUUCAUCGUUCCCAACCACGAUGAACUGAAAUCCCUAAAACCAUGAACUAAAUAGAUCCUUCAUUUAAAGGUGGCAAUGUCAGGUACUCUGUCACACUGCUGAGAAAACUGAGAAAGGUGGUGCUAAGAUGAAAUCACGGUUGUAUCAUUACCCAAUAAUGCGAUUCACCUUGUCUGUACACCUUUGGAAUUGGUGUACAGAGGAAUUUGGAAACGCCUAGAAAUGAAGGCUAGAGAAUCAUAAGCAGUUAAAUGGGCAGUUCUUUGGGAACUCAGGCCAGAGCAUUGGUUUGAGUGUGGACAGUAGUGUAGCUCAGGAGGUUCAGAUGGUAAUGAACCUCUACUGGGAUGGGGAGUAGACUCCACCUCCUCUCAGAGGACUUGUCUACAGUCGGACUUGUGCCGGAUUUUGUAUGAGGCUAAAUUAGAGUAAUUUGCCAACUAUUUUGGUAGGAAAAAAUUUAAUGUAGUCUAGUAGUCUAUGGUAUGAUUUUUGCCUACUGCCUUUAGUCAUAUUUACAGUAAGAAUGGGAAAGUACAGAAAUGACUGAAAAUAAGAUUUUGAUUAAAAUAGGAAUUGGGUCAAAGAAAGUGGGCUUGUUAAAAGACUAGAUUAUGGGGUUGGGGAUUUAGCUCAGUGGUAGAGCGCUUGCCUAGCAAGCUCGAGGUCCUGGGUUCAGUCCCCAGCUCCGAAGAAAAGAAAAAAAAAAAAAAAAAAAGACUAGAUUACUAAAAAGAAGCCUAGUAUUUUAUACAAAUCAGGACUUGAUGCUACCCCAGGAAUCAUUGAGACCCCCACCUAUUGCCACCUCACAGAUGAAAAUGUGAGUUUGCUGAAACCCUGAGGCAUUCUGCUCACAGAGGGCUUCCUUCCCUUCAUCCUGCCCCCUGGCUUUUUGAGACAAGGUUUCUGUGUGUUUUCCAUAUAGCCCUGGCUAUCCUGGAACUCUGUAGUCCGGGAUGGCCUCAAAACUCAGACCAAAAGUAUUUAGUAUUUGCCUUAGUAGGUUUUGGUCAGGCUUUCUAUGCCUGCACUUCUUUAGGAAUACGUAUAUCACUCAAUACCAUAGUGUGCUAGAAAUAUGUAACUUGUUUUUCCUUUCCCUUUUCUGAGAGUUUCUCUGUAGCCCUGGUUGUCCUGGAAUUUGUUCUGUAGACCAGGCUGGGAUCAGAAGAGUGCUCCCGCUCCCCAUGACGGCACUACUGGGAACUGGGUGGGAAGUAGGGUGAGGCAGAGUUAAAGAAAGUGUCUUGGGAGAUUUCUCUUCCUCUGGCUUCUUUCUGUACCCUUGUCUGGUGUGAGCUGUAGUACUACGCCCUCAUAAUGGAAAGAAAUCUCUGAAACAAUAAGCGAAAUAAAUCUGUCCUCCUUUUAAGUUUUUGUUGGGGAUUUUGUCAUAGUAAUGAGGAAGCUAGUACACUCUAGCCUGCAACUGUUCUCAGUUACUAUGAAAGGCAGUUAAAUGCUCUUACUCAUCAAGAAACCAACGGAAGGCUUUCAAAUUAGAACAUUUAAAACUUCUACAAUUUUCAGUAAAUCUUCAAUCAAAUCAACGUAUAUCUUAAAUAGGUUUCCUAUUUUCCAUUAAUAAUGGUUAAUCUUAUAUAAAAAAGAAAACAAAGACUCCAGUACUUACUAAUGAAUUGUAUUUUAAUAGAAACAUAGCUUAUACCAUUCUUUGAAAAAGCAUUUUAUUAUAAACAACACUUAUACACAAAACCAAAUAAUGUUGAUAUUACAGUUCUAAAAAACGUCUUGGUUUAUCUGAACAGUUAGGAUGCAACUUCAACAGUGAUGGCCUCACACUUCCCGGUCUCUUGGUCUGUGCACGUCACCUGUAAAGAUCCAUCCCUAUGACAAAGACAGAAAAUAGGUUUCAUCAGCUCAGUUUCUACAAGCACCAAGUCUUUGAGGAGGACUUGGAAAGUUUCAAAAGAAGUUUAUUAAGACAAAGAUUAAAUACAAGUUCAGUGUCUUUAAAUUUGGCCUGUGCCUUUUCUAGGAGGCUCUUGGAUUUCCUUCUAAACCUCUGACCUCACAGCUAUAUUCCCUAAAAAUCCAAGACCAUAAAAGCUUAAAACUUUACAUACACUCAAGACAGGUCAUGCCAACUCUAACUCAGGCUCUGUCAAGGCCAUUCGAGAUCUUUCUAAAUAUGGUUUACAGCCUAUAUUAUUCCUAAAGUCAAAUGAGAAACGUUUCCUUGAAAUAAACAAUAAGAUGGCCUUGCUAGCAAACAUGGCAACAGCUGAAUGUGGCUAGUAACAAACUUCCUGGAGUUUCCACAUAGAGAUAGAAGGGACAACAGAAGACCCACAAGGCUGCUAAUUACUCGAUAGACACCUUUUUCCUAAAAUAGAAGUGCUCACUAGGAAGAACUGCAGUGUUCUAACAAGGGAUUUGCCUGGAAUGAUAAUUUAGCCAAACUAAAGGGACCAAGUUCCAGAGAAACUUCAUAAUAUUGGAAACAUUUCAUUUUGUACCUUUUCAUAGUAAGGACAGCUAAUAUAUCACGUAAUCCAUUUUCUUUUUUAUCUAAGUCCUGGAGCACAACCUGUUUGUGUAAAAGCAAAACAGAUAAACAACAAAAAAAUAAAGGCAAUUCAGUACUUUCUCAUUGUAAAGGAUCAAAGUUCUAACCAAAACAAACCUUUUAAAGUGGGACAGUUUUCAACUAUCUUACCAUUUAGAGAGAAUUCAGAAAUUAAGGAGUUAAGCCUUGUUAAGAGGCUUAUAUCUCCUUUAGAAAGAUAUAAGACAAUUACUGUAUCUGUCCCUCUUUUAUGUCAUAUCUGAUUAACAUGAUUGUUGUUAGGAAGUAUUGUCCUCAAAAGAACCCAGACUACUUUUGGAAGUAAGUCAUUGCCCGUAGUAACACAGAUUACCCUUCAAGCAUACUUUCUGUGUAUACUUGGAAUGCUAUCCAUUUAAAAGAAAUAUACAGAAUUUUUGGGUGACAUUUGUCAGCAAGAGGUGUUAUGGAAGUCUGUCAUUUCUUAGUUUCUGAAAGAUAGGUGUUCCAAUACACCCAGUUAGAAGUUCGGCUUUGCGCCCUGGACUCUGCCAGAAUCAAGUUUAAUGAUUUUACAAGUCGCUCUCCUGUGACUCACUUGGCAAGGGUGUGAACAUACGGGAGCACAGAAACCUUCUCCUCCCUCCUUCCACAUACCUUCUAAAUUUCCUUUUUCUUUUUUUUUUUUUUUCUUUUCUUUUUUUUUCAGAGCUGGGGACCGAACCCAGGGCCUUGCGGUUGCUAGGCAAGCGCUCUACCACUGAGCUAAAUCCCCAACCCCUCUUUUUCUUUUUCUAAGACAGGGUUUCUGCGUGUAGCCCUGGCUGUCCUCAGAUCUCCUGAGAUCUGCCUGCCUCUGCCUCCCGAGUGCUGGGAUUAAAGGUGCACACUACCCACUACUGCCCAGCCUGCAAUUUUCUUUCACAAAACUAUUUUAUCUUGGUUAUUUUGUGUGCAUAUGUGCAUGGGCCUUGAUGGGUGUGUAAAGGUCAGAGAGCAACUUGAGGCAGGCGGUUCUGUUUGAACAUUACCUCGUACGGCAUCUGGUAUUUACCAAACAGAAAAAUCUUUUCUUCUUCUGCUAGUUGCCAAAUCACUAAGAUGAGCCAAGAGCACAGAGAAGCAAACACAAAAUGGUUUUAUUCUUCUUGUUUCACAACGCUGACCAGUGAUCCCUUCUCACUUUGGAAAGUUGAGUAAGUAGAAGCAGCUUAGUCUUAGGAGUUCCCAGGGUACAUAUUAUUUGUAUUAAUGGAGAUGGGAACGGAAUUAACUUCAGGAGGAAAAGUGGAAGAAAUAUUUGCCUGAGACAAAGUUGUAAUAUCCAGGUUUAUAUAUUUACCUGUGCAAACUUGGUCUCCUCUUUAACAGAGUUCUUGCCCUCAGACUCAUAGAGUUCAAGGCAAACAGAAGAUAUACUGCCAGGGGCUUGUAGCGUGUGCUGUCUUCGCGCUGGCAGAGGAGUCCCAGAGGGGAACAGCACUGUGAAUCUGUUGGCACCUGAUUCAUCGACUCCCUAAGAGGCAGGAAAGCAAGAGGAGUGUGCUGGUUUUUAUCUUUUCAACUGAAAACAGCCUGUUAUUCCUGCUGUAAUGGACAUACACAGUCCUCACUGAUACUCUGGAAAGAGGACAGAAAACACAGGUUUCUGAUUCAUCCAAUCAUCAUCUGAGACUCUGGACAUGCAGGGUGCUGAACUAGCCCAGCCUGGACGGGAGGUCGUCAACAGCCACUUAUUUAAUCUUUUAAUGGAGGCUCGGCUAGAACAGGAGUGCUCUGGAGAAUGUGGACGAGACAGGGACCACACCAGUCUGCGGGUGAUGGGUGAGAAGACCAGUCUUGUUUGUUUUUUAAAGUGGGUUUGCCUUUGGGAAGGAAUUUUUUUUCCUAAAAUUUUAUGAUCCUAGUAAAUACAGAACAAAAACGUA